GACAGAGGGUGCAAACGUUGUUCGGAAUUACUGGGCGUAAAGCGCGCGCAGGCGGCCUUUUAAGUCUCGUGGUGAAAUGCCGGGGCUCAACCCCGUGCCCGCCGGAGAUACUGGGAGGCUGGAGACAUGUAGAGGCAAGCGGAAUUCCGGGUGUAGCGGUGGAAUGCGUAGAGAUCCGGAAGAACACCGGAGGCGAAGGCGGCUUGCUGGGCAUUGUCUGACGCUGAGGCGCGAAAGCGUGGGGAGCGAACAGG
rnacentral:rRNA from 1 species